GCGGGCGUGGUGGAAUGGCAGACACGCUAGCCUUAGGAGCUAGUGGGGUAACCCGUGGGGGUUCAAGUCCCUCCGCCCGCACCA
rnacentral:tRNA from 1 species